rnacentral:lncRNA from 1 species
UUCGAAGGUGGUGUUGAAGUGUAGAUAAGAGGGCUUGUCGUGAUUUUUUGUUUCGGGAGCAAUUGGGUAAGACUACUGCAUGUCCAUUGUUCCUUUCAAAACUGAGUAUGCUGAAGCAAUAUUUUGGCCACCAGCCUACUGGGGCCUAAGACUCUCUCCCAAAAGUGACCUAGCCUGCACCAGGCCAAAACACCAAGUAUUCAUUUCCUGUCAACAUCCUUCUCCGCCAGUAACCUAAUCUGCUCCUCAAGUCUACCACCAUUUCAUUGACCCAAACAUCCUUUACCCGUGCUUUUUUUAGCCAAUAGCCCAGAUUGUUUCCCCCACCCCUUGUCAUUUAAUUUUUUAAUAAAAGCACAUUGCUGAAACCUAGUUCCCCCCAUUUUCGAUUGUUUCGCCUCCAUUCCCAUAGAUUGUGUUUCCAAUGAAGAUAACAUUUCAAAUAUGGAACCAGACAGAUUUUUUUUUGAGAUGUUCGCCUUUAGAUUUUGGUUGCCAACCUGAUCGCUCUUAGAUUUGCGCUCAACAACCAUCCACAGACCGAAGGCUUCUCCUAUCGUUACCGAAAUUGGCUUGUUGUUUAUCAGGCUAGAAGGAUCCUCUUUACCACUGUGAGUGUUUCGAUCUGCCAAAGAAGAAGGACAAAGACUUUUAAGAUGACCAUAUUUUCCACAUGAAAAACAUAACUCAAUUAAAGCCUCAAACUCCACUUGCUACACCUGGCCAUUGACCACAACUUGCGCGGUAAGCAGGUUUCCCAGAUCUACAAACGCGACCAUUCUAGUGAAUUUCCCUAUUGCUUCACUAAUCAUUUUAAUAUCUAGUUUUUCCACUUUCCUGACCAAGCUUCCAAUCUCCUUUAAUAUCUGUUUUUUGUACAGGAAUCUCGGCAGGCUCGAAAAGCAGAUCUAGGCCAAAGCCUCAGUUGGGAAACAUUUUAAGGGGUCAAAGUCCACCGUCCACGGCUAGAUUGUAAAAUAGUUUCUAAACACUUUCCAUGGACCUUGAGUUAGCGUCAUAUCAUAGUCAUCUUAUUUUGGAAUCGGACUAGGUAAUACCCAUUUGUUACAUCGAUUAUGUGAAAAGGUUGAGAGGGUUUUCAGAGGCUGAUAAUACGAUUAUAUAAGACUCCAUGCCCUAUAUUGCGUCCCAAUAACUUGACAACAACAGUAUUUUCCAUAUCCUUUACUAGAAUUUUUUUCAAGCAAUCAGAAAAGUCGAUAGUGGGAAUUCCAUUGAUGGUGGAUCUGAGGAUAUCACAAUCCUUAAACUCUAGGUCCAAAUCAGUGGCACUAUUAAGAGAUCCAGAACCCGUCCCUCCCAAAAUUUUAUCUUUCCAUGAAAAUCCACGGAGCCAUAUCUACCACCAUAUUCUCCAUUGAGCCAUCACUUUCAUCCUGAAACCUAACUUUUUUGGUGUUACGAUCCACGUUAGUGCUAUCACCGUCACUAACCCGAUCAUCAGACAAAAUCUCAAAGUUGUUCAUCACCGAAUGUUUUUUUUUCAAUGAAAUUAAAUUUUUAAAUUCAAUUUUGAUGGGUAUUAAAUGUAUCUUUUAAUUUAAAUACAAUAAACCUAUACAUGUAUAUAUAAGUACUAAUUUACACUAUUAUUAAUUAAAGGCACAUUGAUUGUUUUAUAAUUAUAAUCAAUAUUAUCAUCUGCACAUAUUAAAUUAUUUAAUUUUACUUGUUAAAUAACAUAAUAUUAGAUUCAUAUUUGAAAGAUUUUUAUAGUUAUUAGAAUUAUAAUUAAUUUAUACUCUAUGUAAAUCUGCACGAGUAAGAAAACUAGGGUAUAUAUUCAACUCUAAUUUACUAAUAACAUAAGGUAAGGUAGUUCAGCCCUAUUUUUGUACAACUACAGCUCCUUGGUGGGAAUGAAAAAAAGCCAAUACCUCUAUCACAAAAUAAGGCAAAGACUAUAUUAAGAUUAUAAAACAACUGAAAAUACAUAUGAUUAUACCCAAAAAGAAAUUCAAAAUAUUGUAAACUUAUUUUUAACAUCACAAUUACAUGCUUGGCUCCAUUUUGAAUUCUAGACUUCAUUUACCUUAGUUUUUCUUUAUUAAUGUCUCAAAUUUUAUAAGAUUUUUGUACUGUUAAUUUUGAAUUUAAUUAGGAAUGAGCUUUUCAUUUUUAUAUUUGAUUGUUUUGUUUUUUUUCCUAUUAUUUUAAGGUUGAUAGCAGUUGAAUAUGAUCCUUUUGUGAUCGACAUUCCAAAGGUUUUCAUGCGUAUAGGUUUAGAAUACUUUAUUUUCAUUUUUAUUUAUUGUUCUUUUGAAUUUGUUUCAUGCUAAUAAUAAAAAAAAAAGAUGUCUUAACAUUGGGUAAGGUUUUUUUAGGUGUUUUCAUUCUUUCCAAUUUUGAAUUUUAAAACCAACAAUCCCAACUGGACAAAGGGUGGUGGUAUGGGAGUUCUUCUCUCAUAAAAAGUCGUUGCCCAUUCCUUUUAGGAAGUCCUAAUUUGACCAAAAUUCCCCCGUUCUUAUUAAUUUGAAACUCUAAAUGAGAACUAAAUUAUUGCAUAAAUUCAACUGCUCUGACCACUUUCUCAUUAAAAGCUACAACAAAGUAUUCUGAAGCUUUUCAACAGCCUUAUCAAGAACAUAGUUAAGCCUUGGUUCAUUUCUAAGCACUAUUUUAUUUUUUAUAGGCCAUAUCUCCAACAAUGUGAAUGCAAAGAUAAGAAACCAAGGGAGUUUCGGUUUAGGUAUCCACUCUUUUGCAUUAAGAUUGGCAUCAAGUCAUUGUUCCAUGCUUGACUGAAGGAAUGCUUUUUGCAGACUG